rnacentral:lncRNA from 1 species
UUCCGCGCGUAACAGGCUUUGGCUUGGUGUCGCAUGGGCCACUUGAUGGUGCAGUCAUUGCAUAUCAACGUCCAGACAAAAAGCUUUUAUUAAACCUGUUGGAAGCUGCCGAGCUUUUUCGGCAACUCUGACUCCACAUUUACCAAAAAAUUUUCUCCGUAUUUAGUUUUUAAUAUUUUUGCCAUUUGGCACUUUGUUAGAGCAGAGCACUCCUCACUCCAACGCUUCCAAAAGAUCUGUUGGACACAGGUGAUUCGUUGCCAGCAAUCCAAUCUAUUGAAGUUUAGACAAGUUACGUCUGGCCCGGGAAACUCCAUCAGCGGACGACCAAUUAGAAAAUGUCCUGGUGUGAGGACGCCAAGAUCUUCAGGGUUUUCUGAAAUAGCGAAAAGAGGUCGAGAAUUUAUUACAGCCUGGAUUUGGCAGACCAACGUCCGCAGCUCAUCAAAAGUAAAGAGGG